rnacentral:lncRNA from 1 species
UAGAAACAGAAAUUUACAUGCGUCCAUAUUUUCAAAUCUAUAUUUAGAAAGCUGCUACGCCACACUCCUUCUGUUCUGCUGGAAAUCAACUGGACCUGGGUGCUAAAUUAUUAAGAUUUUUCUUUUAGUGAGUUCCCCUUUAUCUUUCCAGUUAUCCUGAUGGCUUCUGAGGUUUAUUAACCUCCCUUCAUGCAUGGGCUUGACCAGGACACUGGAGCAUAUAACAGCCCCAUGGCAACUAAGUAACUAUCUUCCAUGCUUUGUCUUUGAUUGCAGCCAUGGAGACUGUCAUGUCCCCAUAUGAAAUCUUUCGCGUUUCCAACUCCAGCACCACACCAGGAAGUGGUGUCUAGAUGCCCAAGAUGCCCUUGUGCUGUGUGUUCUACAGACCCUCUCGGCACCAAAAAAGUCAAAGAAGGAAAGAAGAAAUUGUGGGACAGAUUACCCAAGAUCAUACAGCGAGUUCAUGGACUACAACCCAGGAAAGGAGUGAGUCGGUGGCUUCCCUAUGAGCUGUUAAUCCAAGGUAGGUCACAGUCGCAGUUCCAACCAUCCAGACUCGAUCAGCCUGAAGUCCUUUGCGGAUGGAGAUCUGGUUUCCCUGCUCCCAACAGUGCUGCUAAACAAGACUAGGGCUGGAUUUUCAAAACGGCCUAAGUGUUUUCUGAAUUUAUGCACCUGAUGAAGCCCGUUGAGGUUCACCUUUUCAGUGUGCUGGUUUAGGUGAAAACAACAGAGGAAACGGUGUUAAUCACUAACUCACUCUGAGUCAGUUCACUGGUGGUAAGCAGCUGAUUGAGAGGAAGGAUGGCUUUGUGGGAGGGGGCUAGCCUGGGUCUCAGGAGUUCCAGGUUCAACCAACCCUGGCUCUACCACAGGCUUCCUCUGUGACUGUGGGCAAGUCACUUAGGGUGGGAUCCACACAGAGACUUAGGCACUGUGUCACUCAGCAUGGUAUCAUCUAAAAAAUCCCAGGAACAGCGCUACGAUCCACAAAGCCUGAGUUAGGCAACUUGGCUCCCUAUACAAUGAAGGGGAGAGAGAGGUGCCUAAGAAUGGGAUCAACAAAAACCAGCAGGCUACACGGGGAGAUCCCUAAUCUAGCCAAUGGAAAUGCUGACCAGAGGGGUAUGUGCUAAGCCCUGCCCUCUCCCAGAGAGAGGCAUAUAAGUGCAGGAUGCAGAAGGUGCUUAGCUCUGCAAAGCCACCCGUGAACAGGGACCCACCGCCUGGAAUCACUCCUUGAGGGAAUGAGUUAAGUGCCUACCUCACUCCAAUCAAAAUGGGAAGAGGCCCUGCCCACCUUAUAACUUCUAGCACAGUGGUUAGUGCAUUGGCCUGGGAUGUGGGAGGCCCAGGUUCAAUUCCUCCUCUGCCAGAGGCUCUCAAACCUCUCAAGGGCAUGCUCCAGCCACUGGGCUAUGGGGUAUUCUGAUGUAGGGCUUCCUCACUCUCUCCUGUUGAAGCUGUUUCACUGAGGAUAAACACAGCCAUUGGGCCGGAGAGGGGAGAUGACUCUGUAAUCCAGUGGUUAAGGCUCCCAUGUGGGAGAGGUAUGACCCUGAUCUUGUCCCCCUGCUCCAACCUAAGAACAUAAGAAUGACCAUACUGGAUCAGACGAGUAGUCCAUCCA